rnacentral:Y_RNA from 1 species
GCGGCGAAUGCCGGUGGAACUACAGCCUACAACGCUCGAUGUCGCGGGUUCGAAUCCCGUCGGCUCCAUCACUGGGGGGCCGUAGCUCAGUCUGGUAGAGCACGAAAAUGUUUCACCAACCCUUGUCGCAACGGG